rnacentral:rRNA from 1 species
AGCGAACGGGGAGGAGCCCAGAGCCUGAAUCAGCAUGUGUGUUAGUGGAAGCGUCUGGAAAGGCGCGCGAUACAGGGUGACAGCCCCGUACACAAAAGCGCAUAUGCUGUGAGCUCGAUGAGUAGGGCGGGACACGUGGUAUCCUGUCUGAAUAUGGGGGGACCAUCCUCCAAGGCUAAAUACUCCUGACUGACCGAUAGUGAACCAGUACCGUGAGGGAAAGGCGAAAAGAACCCCGGCGAGGGGAGUGAAAAAGAACCUGAAACCGUGUACGUACAAGCAGUGGGAGCCCCACCACUAAGCCAGUGGUGAACUCCACAUACGCAUCCUUUGCUGAGGAUACGGUUAACGGAGCGAAAGCGACGUUCAACCUCAAAAGAAGCAGAGGGGGCUUAGUGGUGGGGUGACUGCGUACCUUUUGUAUAAUGGGUCAGCGACUUAUAUUCUGUAGCAAGGUUAACCGAAUAGGGGAGCCGGAGGGAAACCGAGUCUUAAUUGGGCGUUAAGUUGCAGGGUAUAGACCCGAAACCCGGUGAUCUAGCCAUGGGCAGGUUGAAGGUUGGGUAACACUAACUGGAGGACCGAACCGACUAAUGUUGAAAAAUUAGCGGAUGACCUGUGGCUGGGGGUGAAAGGCCAAUCAAACCGGGAGAUAGCUGGUUCUCCCCGAAAGCUAUUUAGGUAGCGCCUCGUGAAUUCAUCUCCGGGGGUAGAGCACUGUUUCGGCUAGGGGGCCAUCCCGGCUUACCAACCCGAUGCAAACUGCGAAUACCGGAGAAUGUUAUCACGGGAGACACACGGCGGGUGCUAACGUCCGUCGUGAAGAGGGAAACAACCCAGACCGCCAGCUAAGGUCCCAAAGUCAUGGUUAAGUGGGAAACGAUGUGGGAAGGCCCAGACAGCCAGGAUGUUGGCUUAGAAGCAGCCAUCAUUUAAAGAAAGCGUAAUAGCUCACUGGUCGAGUCGGCCUGCGCGGAAGAUGUAACGGGGCUAAACCAU